rnacentral:lncRNA from 1 species
GUUAUGUGGGUAUGUAAUUUGUGCCGAAAACAACAAGAAAUCCUCACUAAAUCAGGAGCAUGGUUUUAUAAUAGUGGAUCUAAUACACCACAGCAACCUGAUCAAAAGGUUCUUCGAGGGCUAAGAAAUGAGGAGGCACCUCAGGAGAAGAAACCAAAACUACAUGAGCAGACCCAGUUCCAAGGACCCUCAGGUGACUUAUCUGUACCUGCAGUGGAGAAAAGUCGAUCUCAUGGGCUCACAAGACAGCAUUCUAUUAAAAAUGGGUCAGGCGUGAAGCAUCACAUUGCCAGUGACAUAGCUUCAGACAGGCAUUCACCUGCUUCAAGAUGAAGCUGGACAUCUCUUUCCCAGCCACUGGCUGCCAGAAACUCAUUGAAGUGGAUGAUAAACGCAAACUCUGCACUUUUUAUGAGAAGCAUAUGGCCACAGAAGUUGCUGCUGAUGCUCUGGUUGAAGAAUGGAAGGGUUAUGUGGUCCUAAUCAGUGGUGGGAAUGACAAACAAUGGUUCCCCAUGAAGAGGGGUGUCUUGAUUCAUGGCCGUGUCCG